rnacentral:rRNA from 2 species
CAUGCAAGUCGAGCGAACAGACGAGGAGCUUGCUCCUCUGACGUUAGCGGCGGACGGGUGAGUAACACGUGGAUAACCUACCUAUAAGACUGGGAUAACUUCGGGAAACCGGAGCUAAUACCGGAUAAUAUAUUGAACCGCAUGGUUCAAUAGUGAAAGACGGUUUUGCUGUCACUUAUAGAUGGAUCCGCGCCGCAUUAGCUAGUUGGUAAGGUAACGGCUUACCAAGGCAACGAUGCGUAGCCGACCUGAGAGGGUGAUCGGCCACACUGGAACUGAGACACGGUCCAGACUCCUACGGGAGGCAGCAGUAGGGAAUCUUCCGCAAUGGGCGAAAGCCUGACGGAGCAACGCCGCGUGAGUGAUGAAGGUCUUCGGAUCGUAAAACUCUGUUAUUAGGGAAGAACAAAUGUGUAAGUAACUAUGCACGUCUUGACGGUACCUAAUCAGAAAGCCACGGCUAA